AUAACGACUCUCGGCAACGGAUAUCUCGGCUCUCGCAUCGAUGAAGAACGUAGCGAAAUGCGAUACUUGGUGUGAAUUGCAGAAUCCCGCGAAUCAUCGAGUCUUUGAACGCAAGUUGCGCCCUAGGCCAUCCGGCUGAGGGCACGUCUGCCUGGGUGUCACGCAC
rnacentral:rRNA from 2 species